AGUAGGUAUGGCCCCAAAGGUGUCACCAAGACUAGAACUAAUGACUGAAUAUAACAAAAAGAAUGAAAACAGAGUAAACUCUAUUUUUGUUAAAUGUGUUAUAUUUCUAAAUAUGAGUACAGCAGGAAAAGUCUUUAAAAAUGCUGAAAUGUUAAAGGCCAUUAUCCCUUGGUGGUAGAAUUUCAUUUGACUCAGAAUUUUUCUCCUUGUUUUCCUGGAUUUUCUCAUGUUCCCACAAUGAAUAUGCUCUAUUGUGCUUUUUUAAAUUUUAAAUAAAGAAAACUAAAGAACGCUGAGGAAGUAACAAAGGGAAUCAAUACUCUGAACUUAAAUCCGAUCUAAGAGAAAUAUAAGUAAAGUGGAAAUCAUGAGAAUUGGGGCAAAGAAUCUAUGCCAUCUUGUAGUUUAUAAGUCACUAAGGAGAAGGCCACUGGGCAGUGAGACUUGUACCUUGAACCUCUGGAAAGUAGCUUUCAGGAAGUACAGAAACCAGGUUAUUAGUCUGGAGACUGGAGAAGGCAGUGAGCCCCUGAUCUCCUGGGAAGAGGACUGAAGUCACGGAGAGAGGGCAACUACUCAAACCAUUCCCUCUAGGCUGGCCUCUGGCGGAGAGUCAUUCUUCCACGGGAAAGUUGUUGUUACCCUGGACUCAAACUGUUUGGAGACCAGGUUGGGCUCGGAGCGAUUCUUCAGUUAGGAAGUUACAGGAGCAUUUACUGAAGCAGCCUGCUGGAAACCACAAAUAAGGGAGCAAGAAGUAGCCUCAAGAAGAAACAAACUUUGGGAGAAUGUGCACUGAGAAAAGCCAGAUGGAGUCCCCCUGGAUCAAGUUAAUUAAGAAAUAAACAUGACGGUAUACUGGAGUCAAAACCAAGGAAUGCGGUGAGGACAGGUUUCUCAACUGCCCAGAAGAGAAGACACAGUUCCUUUUCAACUAAAAUUAGAAAGCCACUGGGAACAUAAGCCAAGAAGCACGGGUUCGCACCUGGCUUUUGGGAUUCAGCAGUCCCACCGACGGAGCAUCAGCUAACAGGCUGGGAGCUUUGUCAGCAAGUUCUUAAACGGCUCAUAAUUCUGCUAAGAGCUUGCGGGUAUCUAGCUGGUGUUCAAGGACCCAAGUGAAAACAUUACUAGGUUUAUGUCCACGUCGCAGUCUAAGGCAAGAGGUCAUCUGCCCUUUGGGGGGGGGGGGGGCGGUGCCCUCGUGUCCUGACACACCAUCUCUCCAUUGGGGUAUAUCGGGAACCAGGCUGGCUUCUAGGCCCCGCAGUGCCCAUGUGGUUGGCGCCGUCUGCAUUUUAAGCACUCCCUCGCCCCUCUCUGCACUCGGGAGGGCCCUGAAUCGCCGGUAGGUACCGAGUCAGAAUGCAGGAGGGUCCCCCAACACAGGGCUAGCGCGAGGAGCGUGGGCCGCCUCCUCGGAGCAGACCCAGGCUAUGUCCACAGGCCGGAAGCACUGAGGUGGGUAGGCAACUGGGUGAAGGGGGUGCCAGGCACGCCCGGGUGCCCGCACCUCUCACCAGCCCCCGGAAGCGCCGCCCUCCCGCCCAGCGGGCUCCGAGGGGGCGGGGAGUCGAACGCCCCCUUCCGGGUGCCUCCGCCCGGCUGGCCAGCCCCGCUCCUCCUCCGGGCGGGAAUCCUCCCUCCCCCGCCCCUCCCGGAGCCGGGCCCCGGCGCCAGGCCCGGUCCCAGGGGGGAACCCCCGGCCCCGGCUUCCCCUCCCUGCGGCCUCUGCCCGUCUUCCCGACCCUUGGGGGCCGGAAAGACCCCGCCGGCAGCGGUCAGGACCCACCGCUCAUUACGACAUCUUCCUCCCUGGCCUCCGCCGCCUCCGCCGCCACCGAGAGCCUGACACCGCCCGCCCAGCACCCGCCAAUCCCGGAGCCCGCCACCGCCCGAGCGACGGCAGCGUUCACCAAUAAGAGUUCAGUACAUUGGGGACCGACAGCACUAGUAUCCAAUCAGAGAGAGGCGUCUAGAGCGACGUUGGUUUGGCCAAUAGACUUGUGAAAUGUCACUGAUGGACAGUAGAGGGCACCAACCGGAAACCUACUGAAGAGUGAACGACAUGUUCGUCAGCCAAUUGGCGGGACGUGAAGUCCCGCCUACGAGGUGGUUGAUGGACAGCAACAGGAAGCUGGAUGGGGAGGGGCUUAGCUGAGGAGUGGUUUUGUAUUGGUCGUGGUUGACCUUCCACCCACCUCGAACCCAAAAGAUGAGUGAUAGAUCUACCCCAAAGCCAAUCAGAAGUCCUUAGGGUGAGGCCCAGAAAUGCCCUAUAAAUAGUACACACUUUACACCUCAAUCUAGUGUCGCCCUGGAGUGGCGGGAGCCACCUGCUUUUCGGCUACUCAAACCCCUUGGCUGGUGAGUGGGAAGCCACCAGCCUUUUUUUUUUUUUAAUUUCCCUCGCCUUUAUCGCUUCGGGAGAGGGAAAUGAGCCCCCAGGUGACUUUGUACCGCGAGGCGUCGGAGUUCAACACAAUAGCGGGAGUUGGGCUACGUGACACUUCUGAGAGAAGGGAUUAUUUCGCCAUCUCAGUUCAAGCCCCUGUUCAUCCUCACCUAGUUAUUGCAGCGACCCGCCCCUCCCCUCCCCCCACAACGGGCGGUCCACCCAGAAUCACCUGAAGCUCUCUAAAAGGAGAUUCCCGGGGCUGCCGCUCAUAAUCCGAUUCUGUGCGUCUAGGGCACUCUUGGAAUAUACAUUCUGUCCAGCACCUUGGGCGGACAGAGAGUUGGGCCUUUCCGAUUUACCUCCUUGAAUGAGGUGCUGUGUGAGUACAUACAGCCCUUGGGAGGCGCGACCCGGGUACGUUUUUCUUUCCCAGGUCUGCUGUACAUGCGUAACUUGGGCAGGCUGCCUGGCAUUACUGAGCAGGAAUCCACGCUGGCUUCAGACCAGUCUGGGUUUGAAAUUUACGUCCCACUUACAGAGGGGCAGGGUACUGAAACUCCCUGCGCCUUAUGUCCUCACCUGCAAAAUGAGGCUAGUCACACCUACACCUUACAGCAGCGGCUUCUCUUUCUUUUUUAAAACACCAUAAGCCGCAGUGAGAAAUAACACUUGAACCCCGAUACAGUACCCUAAAACUCAGGUGAAAAUGUGUAGCAAAGUUUCCAAAAACAAUACUAAACCUUUCUACCCGCGACGCUCUGAUAAUUUCUAUAGUUAUUCUCCCUUCCCCCUUCCCUCCCUUCCUUUUUUUCGGUCUUUUUCUUGAUCUUGACUGGCAGCUUGAAAAAAAGCUAUCAUAAAGGGUUGGAGUGACCAAAUAAAAUACAGAGCCCAAUGGCCAGUACACAGUAAUUGAUGAAUAAAUGUUAAUUUUCUCUUCCA